rnacentral:lncRNA from 1 species
GAUGGAGAAUUAAUCCGAUUCACAUGUGGGAUGGAUUAAACUAAAAAUUAAGAUGAAAACAUUACGUGAUUUAAAAAUAGAUAAAGGUAAGUAGAGUAAUUUCUUAGGCGGCAGGUGGGGCAGUAGCUAAAAUAAAUUAUGUAGCGAGGCAAAAAAAAUUUCUUACACAAGUCCUCCGAACGAACACACAAUAAACCAAUAAACCAGUGAUUAACUUUUACUAGCUAUCUACUCUCUCAUUCCCAAUAAAAAAAUAUAAUUCUGAAUAUACACCUAGACUAGGACAUAGUGGUACCUUCUUAGAUUCCAGAUUAUACUAUUACCAAGUUAUUAACUGACAAUGUUACGACCCGUUUACGGUAUCUUUAUGGUUAAUACGGUAUCUUUAUUGUUAAUACACGUACGUUUGAUAAAAA